rnacentral:rRNA from 1 species
UACGAAGGGGGCUAGCGUUGUUCGGAAUUACUGGGCGCAAAGCGCACGUAGGCGGAUACUUAAGUCAGGGGUGAAAUCCCGGGGCUCAACCCCGGAACUGCCUUUGAUACUGGGUAUCUCGAGUCCGGAAGAGGUGAGUGGAAUUCCGAGUGUAGAGGUGAAAUUCGUAGAUAUUCGGAGGAACACCAGUGGCGAAGGCGGCUCACUGGUCCGGUACUGACGCUGAGACGCGAAAGCGUGGGGAGCGAACAGG